rnacentral:tRNA from 1 species
GCCCCAGUGGUGUAGCGGAUAGCAUAGGACCCUGCGGAGGUCCAGACCCGGAUUCGAAAUAAGGGCGCCGCA